rnacentral:rRNA from 1 species
UACGUAGGGACCAAGCGUUGUUCGGAUUUACUGGGCGUAAAGGGCGCGUAGGCGGCAAAUUAAGUCAUCUGUGAAAUCUCCGAGCUUAUCUCGGAACGGUCAGGUGAUACUGAUCUGCUAGAGUGCGGAAGGGGCAAUCGGAAUUCUUGGUGUAGCGGUGAAAUGCGUAGAUAUCAAGAGGAACACCUGAGGUGAAGACGGGUUGCUGGGCCGACACUGACGCUGACAGCGCGAAAGCCAGGGGAGCAAACGGG